AGAUGGCUUCAGUACAAGAAAGCGAAACUCUCUUUCUGGAAGAGUUCAUUGAAGACUCGGAAACAGCGGAACUCCUUAAAACAUUCGAGCUCAGUGAUGCAGCGGUUGAGACAUUUCUUGCAAAUAAUUACAGCGUCGAUGAUUUAAAGAUAAUCGAAAGAGAAGAGCUGGAGGCGUUGCUACCCUCUCCGUUUUUAGCUGAUCGUACUCGUGCUAUACAUGGCCUUAAUAAGUGGAGUAUUUCGCAGAAUCUGGUUCCUGUAACACAGCCCCUAGCCGAAAAACGCAAUACCAGUACGCUUGCUAAUAAGUCGUCUGAAACUAAGACACCUCUGAGUAGAGCAGACAGAAAAUUGUGGACAAAAUAGAGCCAUCGAAAAGAGGAAGAGAUGUAUUAAAAAAUAUACGGAGUGCAAAAUUCUCGCAAAAAGAGAUAGAACGUUUAUUACUCAUUUGAUAAUCGAUGAAUUUCUAAACGAAUUUGGUAAGCUGUCAAAGGAAGAACUCAUUCAAAAAUCAAAAGAGCUGAAGGAGAUUUUUCCGACCACAGAAGAGCAUGUGUGGUAUCAACCGACGACAGUCCGCGAUGUGAAUGGUCGAAAAAUUAAGCUGGGACACUUAGCCAAAGGGUGUUUGCUCGACAGAAACCACAA